GAUGAACGCUGGCGGCGUGCUUAACACAUGCAAGUCGAACGAAGCAUUUAGGACAGAUUACUUCGGUUUGAAGUUCUUUAUGACUGAGUGGCGGACGGGUGAGUAACGCGUGGGUAACCUGCCUUGUACUGGGGGAUAGCAGCUGGAAACGGCUGGUAAUACCGCAUAAGCGCACAAUGCUGCAUGACAUGGUGUGAAAAACUCCGGUGGUAUAAGAUGGACCCGCGUCUGAUUAGCUAGUUGGUGAGAUAACAGCCCACCAAGGCGACGAUCAGUAGCCGACCUGAGAGGGUGACCGGCCACAUUGGGACUGAGACACGGCCCAGACUCCUACGGGAGGCAGCAGUGGGGAAUAUUGCACAAUGGAGGAAACUCUGAUGCAGCGACGCCGCGUGAGUGAAGAAGUAAUUCGUUAUGUAAAGCUCUAUCAGCAGGGAAGAUAGUGACGGUACCUGACUAAGAAGCUCCGGCUAAAUACGUG
rnacentral:rRNA from 1 species